UACGGGGGGGUGCGAGCGUUGUCCGGAAUCACUGGGCGUAAAGGGCGCGUAGGUGGUUUGAUAAGGGUGUGGUGAAAGUCCGGGGCUCAACCCCGGAUCUGCCGUGCCGACUGUCAAACUCGAGGGCUGUAGAGGCAGACGGAAUUCCGGGUGUAGCGGUGGAAUGCGUAGAGAUCCGGAGGAAGACCGGUGGCGAAGGCGGUCUGCUGGGCAGUUUCUGACACUGAGGCGCGACGAGCGUGGGGAGCAAACAGGG
rnacentral:rRNA from 1 species